rnacentral:pre_miRNA from 1 species
GGAAUAUAAGAACCUGACUCUUAACUUUUAACUAAAAAAACUAAGAACCGGUUCUUAAGUAAGAGUUUUAAGAGACGGUUCUUAGUUUUUUUAGUUAAAAGUUAAGAGUCAGGUUCUUAUAUUCC